rnacentral:rRNA from 11 species
GUUGUUGGGUAGGGGAGCGUUCUGUAAGCCGUCGAAGGUGUGCUGUGAGGCAUGCUGGAGGUAUCAGAAGUGCGAAUGCUGACAUAAGUAACGAUAAAGCGGGUGAAAAGCCCGCUCGCCGGAAGAUCAAGGGUUCCUGUCCAACGUUAAUCGGGGCAGGGUGAGUCGACCCCUAAGGCGAGGCUGAAAAGCGUAGUCGAUGGGAAACAGGUUAAUAUUCCUGUACUUGGUGUUACUGCGAAGGGGGGACGGAGAAGGCUAUGUUAUCCGGGCGACGGUUGUCCCGGUUUAAGCGUGUAGGCGGAGGGUCCAGGUAAAUCCG